rnacentral:misc_RNA from 1 species
AAGUCGUAACAAGGUCUCCGUUGGUGAACCAGCGGAGGGAUCAUUACUGAGACUUAUCUCAUAACCCUUUGUGAACCUUUAUAACCUGUUGCUUCGGCGGCGCGGCCCCCGGGUCGUGCCCGCCGGUAUCAUCAGAAUCUCUGUUCGAACCCGACGAUACUUCUGAGUGUUCUAAGCGAACUGUUAAAACUUUCAACAACGGAUCUCUUGGCUCCA